GUGAAAAUUCUGAAGCUCUAAGUAAAUGUUUUUUUUGUAUGAUCUUAGGUUUUGACCUUAAUUCAGUUAUUGAUUGGAAGUACAUUUUGAGGGAAAGUGAUUNGAUAACAUGCAACUUGGUUCGUUAUAAAUAAGGUUGGAGUGAGUGUCAGCUCUCGGGUUCCUGGUUUCCUUGGUUCAUUAACAACUUAAUGAACUGAAAAUCUUGUUUGGUUUAUAAAUAAGCCUAGCUUUAGCUUUCAUAUGACUGUGAUUAAUUUAAUUUAUUUGUAAUUGAUUUACUUAUAACUCUAACUAUGCUAAAUUGAAAAGGUUGUUCCAUUAAUUUUGAGUUUGUACUCUUCUUCAGGUAUGAGAUGGAUUUCUUUUGGAGCAUCUGGUUAUUGUUAGCAACAUACAAUCUUGAACACACUCUUUAUUAUUGGCUAAAUUUUAUUGAAAUCAAACAAUUUUGUGGGUUUCACACUUUAUUUACGAACCCACUCAUGACUUAAAAUUUUCAAUAAAUUUUCACUAAUAGUAAAGAGAGUAAGAGAAAUAGUGUGUUGCUUGAACUUCUCUGGUAUAUUCUUGUAUCAUUUCUUUGCAUAAUAUUAACUCAAUUUAGCAUUGAUAUCAAAUGUUUUGUUAACGCAGGUACUAAUGUGAAGAUAGCUUCUGCUCCAUCCAGNGUGGUAAUUCUCUCCCGAGAUAACUUUGAUGAGGUUGUCUUGGAUGAAACAAAAGAUGUUCUGGUGGAAUUGUAUGCACCAUGGUGUGGUUACUGCAAGGCCCUUGCCACUGUAAGGAUGUUCUUCGGUGACUCCUGUUAUAGCUUAUGGUUUUUGAAUCUUAUAACUCUGAUAUUUCUAAUGAAGAGGUUAAACAUGAAUGAAGUGUAAAACUGCACCAGGAAUUGUAAUUUCAAUCUUUUAUCUCAAUUUUUACCCUUAAGUUGUUUUUACGUAAAUAUAUAUUGCACUUUAAUUGUCAUAGUAAUUUGAAUUCACUUUUCUAAAUACAUAUUUUUGUGUAUUUA